CUCAAACUUUGUAAAGUAGCGACACACUUUGAAGAAUGCCGCCUCCUCCUCGCGCGCCCUGGCCGAGAACGACAUCGCGUCGCUAUUGGCCUAAUUGCAUCACGUGGGCUCUCGCGCCGGCUUCAGCUUCAUUUUGCUCGA
rnacentral:lncRNA from 1 species